AUUGAACGCUGGCGGCAUGCCUUACACAUGCAAGUCGAACGGUAACAGGUCUUCGGAUGCUGACGAGUGGCGAACGGGUGAGUAAUACAUCGGAACGUGCCUAGUAGUGGGGGAUAACUACUCGAAAGAGUGGCUAAUACCGCAUGAGAUCUACGGAUGAAAGCAGGGGAUCGCAAGACCUUGUGCUACUAGAGCGGCCGAUGGCAGAUUAUGUAGUUGGUGGGAUAAAAGCUUACCAAGCCGACGAACUGUAGCUGGUCUGAGAGGACGUUCAGCCACACUGGGACUGAGACACGGCCCAGACGCCUACGGGAGGCAGCAGUGGGGAAUUUUGGACAAUGGGUGCAAUCCUGAUCCAGCAAUGCCGCGUGCAGGAUGAAGGCCUUCGGGUUGUAAACUGCUUUUGUACGGAACGAAAAGCCCUGGGUUAAUACCCUGGGGUCAUGACGGUACCGUAAGAAUAAGCACCGGCUAACUACGUGCCAGCCGCCGCAGUAACAC
rnacentral:rRNA from 1 species